CCGACGGUGAGAGGUGAAAGCUGGGGGAGCAAACCGGAUUAGAUACCCGGGUAGUCCCAGCCGUAAACGAUGUGCGUUAGGUGUAUCGGUGACCACGAGUCACCGAGGUGCCGAAGAGAAAUCGUGAAACGUACCGCCUGGGAAGUACGGUCGCAAGGCUGAAACUUAAAGGAAUUGGCGGGGGAGCACCACAACAGGUGGAGCCUGCGGUUUAAUCGGACUCAACGCCGGGAAACUCACCAGAUAAGACAGCUGAAUGAUAGUCGGGCUGAAGACUCUACUUGACUAGCUGAGAGGAGGUGCAUGGCCGUCGUCAGUUCGUACUGUGAAGCAUCCUGUUAAGUCAGGCAACGAGCGAGACCCACGCCAACAGUUGCU
rnacentral:rRNA from 1 species